rnacentral:tRNA from 1 species
GCCCUAGCAGCCGCCAUUCGGUCUAUAGGCCCAUCAGGCGCCCCGCCAUGGUAAGGAAGGGGUCUCCGGUUCGAGUCCGGACGAGGGCU